rnacentral:misc_RNA from 1 species
CCAGUUGUCUCUUAGCCGUUGAUCCCUAAACAUCCAGUAUACGACAGGACCCGUCUGCUUGGUUGAUCCUUCUUUAAGAACCCUGACUCGACCCGGUUGGACAGAGCAAUCAAUUAUCGCUGCCAUCUUCUUCCCUGCCACAUUCACCAUAGCCAUCAAAACAAUCAGUCGCCCAAAUAGGCAAUAGCUUUCGUUUAGUGAAAGGGGGAUAACGACAUUGUUUGGUGAGAGAAAAGCCGAUUAGUAUUGUUUAGUGAGGGAGAAACGAGAACCAUUAACAGAGAGAAGAAAGGAGUUUCGCCUAGCAGCGUCGUUUGAUGAGAAAGAGAGAUUACAAAGGUAGAAUCCUUGCCGGAGACAAUGGGUUAGCGAAUGAGGCAUAGAUUUGCAGAGCAACGAUUCACAGACAGAGAAGAUAAGAUGAAGACAAAGAUUUGUUUCAGUUUCAGAG